GGUUUGAAGAGAGGAGUUGGACCGGGGAGAGAGACCAGGGAAGGAGCCCCGAGGAGAAACGACCAUCGCGGGGUGGGACCGACAUACCGGAUACUAAAACUGGACCGUUUUUUACGUUUGUUUUUAGAGGUUUACACGUAAAACAGCGGAGUUCACGAGACACUAAGCGACAAUCUUUAAGGUGUGAACUUGUGGGCUUUGCGUCUCGUCGAAACCUCUGGAGCUGUCAGAAAAAAAUGAUUGAGAGUUAAGGUGUGGCUGGGGGGUUUUAUGAGGCUUCAGCGGUGAACAAAUGUUACAAAACCGACUGUUUCUACUGUAGAGAGCUUAGUCUCUUAAAGCUUUAAAGACCCUCUGUCCUUUUCCAUCCAGGAACAUAUUACAUAACAAACGUAUUGCCUUCUUCUUGUGCGCACCUUUCUGGCGUAUAUCCCUGGCUGUAGCCCAAAUAACUGGACUAUUACGCAGUUAAGAAGUACGUCAAGUGAUUUUGACUGUUUAGCGGGUCGGUGUAGUUUCAUAGGUCUGUUAAAUGUAACGGACGUGGCAACUUUACAGUAGCUAGCCAUAGUGAAUGCCACAGGCGAACUGGGCGUGGGGGAAACAGUCCGAACUGAGCCCAAUAAUCCUCAAAUAUGCUCCAAGCACGGCAAAAACUGCGCAUAUUUGACAUUUGAUAUUUGGAGUGGCUUGGUGGAGUCGGUGGAUUUACCUGGAGCAAAGUAAGUGCGACUGUCAGAUACAUUUUAACAAACUUUUUAGCGGAGGUGACAUUUAAAGGCCACAGGGGAGGGCGUGCUUCAGUGUUAUCCCAAGUGCAUUUUUGCGUGUUGUAUAGCGUUAUUAAGGCGAAGUGGCUCUAGAAACUGAAGAGACGGAAUGAUAUGAUGCUCGAGGUGGUGUGUCGUUCGGUUGAGGCCUGUAGAAAAUAUUUUCAGUGUUAUGGUACAGUAAGAAACAGGAGGGGCGAGUGUCUUCACAAACGCUAGUGCGUUGAAUGCAUCUAAAUCAAACUGGCAAACAGCUUCAUGUUAGGAGUUGGGUCUAUAUUACAGCAGUCCGCGCGACUUACCAAAGAAUAUCGAGGAGGCAUCGCUUACUCUCGCGAUGUGUCUCUACCCCAAUAACUCAUAGUCAUAACUGAGUGCACAGGCUGACUGGCCCUCUAAUUAAGAUAAUCUUUAAGUCGAAAGGAAAGCAGAUAGAGUGAAUUCCUCAAGGCCCCACCCUUUGUAGCGCAACAUGGAUGUGGAGAGUUGCCCCCACCUCCUCCUCCUCUUCCUCCUCUCUCCCUGUGUCUCUCCCUCCGCGUCAUUCAUUUCCCCUUUCAAGCUUCUCUUCUGCUGUUAUUUCCCCUCCUCAGUAUCUCCAGGUGCCCUAUCUACAGGGGAUCGUCUCAUCUUUUAACCUACUUUGGAUCUGGAUCGUGUUCAGGAGCUACUUCCACGAAUCCUCAGAGGUGUUAAUAGGUGGAGUCGUGUAGGAUUUGCAUAUGCAUGCAGAUAAAUGAUGGAGGAAGAUAAAGAAAAAGAAGUAGAGCUAAAGAAAUGUGAUUGGCCAGCGGUGAGGAGCAGUGGGCCUCUCUGCAGACCAGCUGGAAUGUGGACCAUAUGUAGCAGGCAUCCCAGGAAUGUAACUCGGCCUUGCUGAACUGACCAACCUAAAGACUCAGAGUGAGCCGAGCAAGCCGAGGAGGAGAGAAAGGGAUAAACUAAAGGGUGGAGCAAAGGAAGAUGAUAUUACAAAAUGUAUCACGCAGGAGGAAAAAAAAAGAAAGGAGAUGGAGGAAAAUGAAAGCUUGGAGGCCAGAAGAAGAAAGCAUAAUGAAGCACACGAGAGAUGAGUGUUUACAGACGUGAUUGUGGGGAAAGGGGAACAACAGAUAGGCCUGUUGUAAAUUUGUGAGUUUUGCGCUAGCAUCCUAGUUGUAUUGCAAAUUGAUUAUUUUCUACUAUUUACUACUACUAUCUACUAUUGUCCAGCAAUCAAGGAGAGUGAUGGCUCAUUUAUUCAGUCUUAAAAAGGGAUUGCUGAAGGUUUCACAAAAUAUAAUAAAAGCUGGUGUUCUUUACUUUGAUUUGAUUCUAUAUCAGCCUGUCCCAAACUUUUUUAUUUCAUAAAAGAGGAUUUCAAAGCAAAUGCCUGUUUUUUGAAGACAUCAACACCACAAGAAGAGUUAGCAUAACCAGUAGCAUCAGCAUAAACAACCAUUUUCCUAGUAACAUAAAUGCAGCAUAGUCAAAUGUUUAAUGGAGUCUCACCAGUUAAUUCAGCACCAGUGAAACCAUGACAAACAUUCUGUACAUCAGACCGAAUAAAUGUGGCAAAGGUAACGUACAUUAAAUCUUUUGGCUGUGUUUUGUUUGAUUUCUUGGAAGUAUUUUAAUAUGUAAUCAAGUACUUUAUGAGCAUUUAAACUUUGUUUUAAUUGUUUAAAAUUAUGUUUACAUGAAGUAAAAGGCCUCUUGCAUUCCACCUGCAGUACCCCCAGAGUUGACCAGUGGGCAUGCCUCAGACUCCAUGACUUUUCAUUUAAAUGUAGGGAUCAAUUAACCACAGAAGCAUCAGUACUGUAAUCUAUUCAGCAAAUUGUUUAUUACUUAAAGCUCCUGUGAGGAACUUUUAGUUUGUGCAAAUUUGGUGCCCCCUGUGGUCAAAGCAGUUUGUCUUAUUUCUUUGCCGGUUUUGUUCUGUAUUGUUUUCUGAUAAAAUUCUCACCUGACUUCUUUUUUAAAAGUAAUCAUAUUACUCAUUGUGAAUCUGUUUGAAAAGGCAAUUAAAGACAGAAAUAUUAUAUCUGUCUGCCUUACAACCAGUUAACAGUGCCUCACAGGAGCUUUAAAUGCCAGUACAUGUGACUGGAAAUAAAAACCAUUAUGACCUGAGCUGUUUGUUUUACGUCAGUAAUCAUAUCCAUCUCAUCAUGCUGUAACCUGUUCUAUUAGCAAGAAGCUUUGUUGAGCGAUAAAAGCUGCUGGAUGCUAACGUCAUGUUGUAUCCAAAGUACUCAGUAAACACCUGUGCAGUAAAAUAGGGGAUAUUAAAUAGGGUGUGACUGCUAUGGAUGAAAUGGGGAUGUGUAUUAUUAUUAUGUGUGUCAGACUGCAGUGUUCUUCCAGCUCAGUAACUCAGGGUGAAUGUCUGAAAUGUCUCGUCUCUGUUAGCUUAGCACACUGUGCUCUCAGGCCAUCUGGGUACAGCUGGGGCCAGAACGGCAGGAAACACACUCACUCACAGAUACACACACUUACACAAACAUUCCCUUUUUUUUUUUUUUUUUUUUUUUUAAGUCUGACAUACCCCGACCGUGCCCCCUACUCACUCACACUCACCCUGUUCAGUGGGGUGUGAUGGCAGUUGACCUCCACUUGCCACACUUUUUCAUUGACAAACCAAAAUGUCAUCAGUUUAUUGUUUCAUCUAUUGUGUGUACACAAAAUCCUUAAUCCUUUUCAAUCUAAUUAGAAAUG